rnacentral:rRNA from 1 species
CAUCCGGAAACGGGUGCUAAUACCGCAUAGUUUUUUCUUGAUCGCAUGAUUGAGAAGGAAAGACGGCCUUUUGUGCUGUCGCUUAUGGAUGGACCCGCGGCGUAUUAGUUAGUUGGUGAGGUAACGGCUCACCAAGACGAUGAUACGUAGCCGACCUGAGAGGGUGAUCGGCCACAUUGGGACUGAGACACGGCCCAAACUCCUACGGGAGGCAGCAGUAGGGAAUCUUCCGCAAUGGACGAAAGUCUGACGGAGCAACGCCGCGUGAGUGAAGAAAGGUUUUCGGAUCGUAAAACUCUGUUGUCAGAGAAGAACAAGUUGGAGAGUAACUGCUCCAGCCUUGACGGUAUCUGACCAGAAAGCCACGGCUAACUACGUGCCAGCCGCAGC